rnacentral:tRNA from 2 species
GGCUUGUGCGUUGAUUUCAUUGGCGAAGCGAGUGGAUUGCAAAUCCGUGUACAGGAGUUCGAUUCUCCUACUCGCCUCCA